rnacentral:rRNA from 1 species
UUCCAGCUCCAAUAGCGUAUACUAAAGUUGUUGCAGUUAAAAAGCUCGUAGUUGAAUUUCGGGGUUAGUAGGUUGGUCAUGCCUCCGGUAUGUACUGAUCUCACUGAUUCCUCCUUCCUUAUGAACCGUAAUGCCAUUAAUUUGGUGUUGCGGGGAAUUUGGACUGUUACUUUGAAAAAAUUAGAGUGUUUAAAGCAGGCUAACGCUUGAAUACAUUAGCAUGGAAUAAUGAAAUAGGACGUUCGAUCUUAUUUUGUUGGUUUCUAGGAUUGACGUAAUGAUUAAUAGGGAUAGUUGGGGGCAUUAGUAUUCAAUUGUCAGAGGUGAAAUUCUUGGAUUUAUUGAAGACUAACUACUGCGAAAGCAUUUGCCAAGGAUGUUUUCAUUAAUCAAGAACGAAAGUUAGGGGAUCGAAGACGAUCAGAUACCGUCGUAGUCUUAACCAUAAACUAUGCGACUAGGGAUCGG